rnacentral:rRNA from 1 species
UACGUAGGGUGCGAGCGUUGUCCGGAAUUAUUGGGCGUAAAGGGCUCGUAGGCGGUCUGUUGCGUCAGGAGUGAAAACUCGGGGCUUAACCCCGGGCCUGCAGUGGGUACGGGCAGACUAGAGUGCGGUAGGGGAGACUGGAAUUCCUGGUGUAGCGGUGAAAUGCGCAGAUAUCAGGAGGAACACCGGUGGCGAAGGCGGCUUGCUGGGCCAGUUCUGACGCUGAGGAGCGAAAGCGUGGGGAGCGAACAGG